UUUCCUCUCGCUCAAAUUGCAAAUCAAAUUGCAGGAGUAAAGUCCUGCGUCUCCUCUAUCUCUUCCCUCUUGCUCAUCUCUCCUCUUCGCAACCUUGAUCCCCAAAUCUUUAACCCAGACUUGUCUUCCUUCUCUCUUUCCCAUAGACUUCUCUCUUCCUUCUCGUUCUAAACGACGGGUAGCCACACGAAUCUCGAAGCCGACGGGAAUCAAGUCCCAAAAUCAAGGACCAGAAUGUGAACUAAUUGGGAUUAUUGGUCAAUCUACAUUCUACAGAGACUGGUGAAGUUUACACUUGGGGUUGGAAAGAGUGUGUUCCCUCUGGGAAUCUUAUCGGUGACCUGGGUAUGGUGGAACAUCUCCAAAAGGAUACUACAGGGAAUCAAAGUUCAUUACCAGCUGAACAAGGUAUUUCUGUAACCUGGGUAUAUUUGGAAAAACAUGCACGGAGGCCUUUUCGAUUGUACUAGAUCAAUGUGAUUAAGACCUUAUUGUCUUAUACAGCCAUUGUAUAGCCAUUUAGCACAAUUUCAAUUAUUUUGAAUCAUAAUUUGUGAUUGUAUA